GACGAACGUUGGCGGCGUGCUUAACACAUGCCAGUCGAACGGAAGAGCCCUGCUCUUGUGGCGUGCUCGAGUGGCGCACGGGUGAGUAUCACGCGAGUAGCAUGCCCCUGUCUUUGGGGGACCUUCAGGAAACUGGAGCUCUUAUCGGAUAGGAGCUCCUGAUACAUAGUUGUGGAUGGUGAAUUCCGGCGGUGCGGGAUGCACUCGUGGUUUAUCAUCUUGUUGGUGGGGUAGUGGCUUACCAAGGCUUGGACGGGUAGCCAGACUGAGAGGGUGACAGGCCACAAUGUGACUGAGAUACGGCCAAGACUGCUACGGGGGGCAGCAGUGGAGGUUAUUGCACAAUGGGCGGAGGCCGGAAGGAGCAACGUCGCGUGGUGGAUGACGGCCUUCGGGGUGUAAACCGCUUUCGCCUGUAACGAAGCGUGAGUGACGGUAAUGGGUAAAGAAGCAACGGCUAACUACGUG
rnacentral:rRNA from 1 species